AUGAACGCUGGCGGCGUGCCUAAUACCUGCAAGUCGCGCGAACAGACGAGGAGCUUGCUCCUCUGACGUUAGCGGCGGACGGGUUAGUAACACGUGGAUAACCUACCUAUAAGACUGGGAUAACUUCGGGAAACCGGAGCUAAUACCGGAUAAUAUAUUGAACCGCAUGGUUCAAUAGUGAAAGACGGUUUUGCUGUCACUUAUAGAUGGAUCCGCGCCGCAUUAGCUAGUUGGUAAGGUAACGGCUUACCAAGGCAACGAUGCGUAGCCGACCUGAGAGGGUGAUCGGCCACACUGGAACUGAGACACGGUCCAGACUCCUACGGGAGGCAGCAGUAGGGAAUCUUCCGCAAUGGGCGAAAGCCUGACGGAGCAACGCCGCGUGAGUGAUGAAGGUCUUCGGAUCGUAAAACUCUGUUAUUAGGGAAGAACAAAUGUGUAAGUAACUAUGCACGUCUUGACGGUACCUAAUCAGAAAGCCACGGCUAACUACGUG
rnacentral:rRNA from 1 species